UACGGGGGGGAGCAAGCGUUGUUCGGAUUUACUGGGCGUAAAGGGCGCGUAGGCGGCCACGACAAGUCACUUGUGAAAUCUCCGGGCUUAACUCGGAAAGGUCAAGUGAUACUGUCGGGCUAGAGUACAGAAGGGGGCAACUGGAAUUCUCGGUGUAGCGGUGAAAUGCGUAGAUAUCGAGAGGAACACCUGCGGCGAAGGCGGGUUGCUGGGCUGAUACUGACGCUGGAUGCGCGAAAGCCAGGGGAGCGAACGGGG
rnacentral:rRNA from 1 species